UUCUGGCUCAGGAUGAACGCUAGCUACAGGCUUAACACAUGCAAGUCGAGGGGCAGCAUUAGAUUAACUUGCUAAUUAGAUGGCGACCGGCGCACGGGUGAGUAACGCGUAUCCAACCUCCCCCUGCUCAGGGAUAGCCCGGUGAAACCGGAUUAAGACCUGAUAGUUUCACUAGAUGGCAUCUGACGGUGAAUAAAGGUUUCGGCAAGGGAUGGGGAUGCGUCUGAUUAGCUUGUUGGCGGGGUAACGGCUCACCAAGGCGACGAUCAGUAGGGGUUCUGAGAGGAAGGUCCCCCACAUUGGAACUGAGACACGGUCCAAACUCCUACGGGAGGCAGCAGUGAGGAAUAUUGGUCAAUGGGCGGAAGCCUGAACCAGCCAAGUAGCGUGCCAGGAAGACGGCCCUAUGGGUUGUAAACUGCUUUUGUGCGGGAAUAAAGUCAGGGACGCGUCCCUGUUUGCAUGUACCGCAAGAAUAAGGACCGGCUAAUUCCGUGCCAGCAGCUGC
rnacentral:rRNA from 1 species